GUAGGUGGCAAGCGUUGUCCGGAAUUAUUGGGCGUAAAGCGCGCGCAGGCGGUUCUUUAAGUCUGAUGUGAAAGCCCACGGCUCAACCGUGGAGGGUCAUUGGAAACUGGAGAACUUGAGUACAGAAGAGGAAAGCGGAAUUCCACGUGUAGCGGUGAAAUGCGUAGAGAUGUGGAGGAACACCAGUGGCGAAGGCGGCUUUCUGGUCUGUAACUGACGCUGAGGCGCGAAAGCGUGGGGAGCAAACAGGGAUUAGAUACCCUGGUAGUCCACGCCGUAAACGAUGAGUGCUAAGUGUUAGGGGGUUUCCGCCCCCUUGGUGCUGCAGCUAACGCAUUAAGCACUCCGCCUGGGGAGUACGGCCGCAAGGCUG
rnacentral:rRNA from 1 species